UACGGGGGGUGCGAGCGUUGUCCGGAAUCACUGGGCGUAAAGGGCGCGUAGGUGGUUUGAUAAGGGUGUGGUGAAAGCCCGGGGCUCAACCCCGGGUCUGCCGUGCCGACUGUCAAACUCGAGGGCUGUAGAGGCUGGUGGAAUUCCCGGUGUAGCGGUGGAAUGCGUAGAGAUCGGGAAGAACAUCGGUGGCGAAGGCGGCCAGCUGGGCCGUUGCUGACGCUGAGGCGCGACAGCGUGGGGAGCAAACAGG
rnacentral:rRNA from 1 species